UACGGAGGGUGCAAGCGUUAUCCGGAUUCACUGGGUUUAAAGGGUGCGUAGGCGGUUCGUUAAGUCUGUUGUGAAAUCCCCGGGCUCAACCUGGGAAUGGCAAUGGAUACUGGCGGGCUAGAGUGUGUCAGAGGAUGGUGGAAUUCCCGGUGUAGCGGUGAAAUGCAUAGAGAUCGGGAGGAACAUCAGUGGCGAAGGCGGCCAUCUGGGACAACACUGACGCUGAAGCACGAAAGCGUGGGGAGCAAACAGG
rnacentral:rRNA from 1 species